AUGUUUAUGUGUUCCUUUGAUUUUCACCAAGAAAAUAAACAUUCUGAAAUCUUUAUAGGAUAUUUGAUUCCAUUUUUACUAAAGAAUAGACUAAAUAGACUACGUCCUUACAUUCUCCAUGGAGAAGUUGUCCACCCAGUUGAUUUGCCAUUGAUUUGUGACAUUUUUUGUGCAGUUAUGAUUUCUGUGGUUUGCUUGGUACCGUCAAAAGAUAAUUUAUGGGUUUGUACUUCUCCUUUUGUUUAUAGAGAAUGGGUCAUCCUAGAGUAUGAAUUGAAAAUUUUAUACCCCCAUGAAUUUGACAUGGUUUGA
rnacentral:rRNA from 1 species